UCCUACGGGUGGCAGCAGUGGGGAAUAUUGGACAAUGGGCGAAAGCCUGAUCCAGCCAUGCCGCGUGUGUGAAGAAGGUCUUCGGAUUGUAAAGCACUUUAAGUUGGGAGGAAGGGCUGUCGGCUAAUACCCUGCAGUUUUGACGUUACCAACAGAAUAAGCACCGGCUAACUUCGUGCCAGCAGCCGCGGUAAUACGAAGGGUGCAAGCGUUAAUCGGAAUUACUGGGCGUAAAGCGCGCGUAGGUGGUUCAGCAAGUUGGAUGUGAAAGCCCCGGGCUCAACCUGGGAACUGCAUCCAAAACUACUGAGCUAGAGUACGGUAGAGGGUGGUGGAAUUUCCUGUGUAGCGGUGAAAUGCGUAGAUAUAGGAAGGAACACCAGUGGCGAAGGCGACCACCUGGACUGAUACUGACACUGAGGUGCGAAAGCGUGGGGAGCAAACAGGAUUAGAUACCCCGGUAGUC
rnacentral:rRNA from 1 species